rnacentral:ribozyme from 1 species
UGCCUCGACGACCGCAACGAUGGUUUCCAAACGCAAGCGACGGCCAAGGUUUUCAAGAUGCCGUCACGAAGACCCUCUCAAAGGAAGCGCCUAAGCGCCGC